CUGCAGCUCAAGUGGUGACCACUAUUAUUGGGCCUAAAACGUUCGUAGCCGGUUUGGUAAAUGCCUGGGUAAAUCGUGUAGCUUAACUAUACGAAUUCCGGGUAGACUGCCAAACUUGAGACCGGGAGAAGCUAGAGGUACUCCUGGGGUAGAGGUGAAAUUCUGUAAUCAUGGGGGGACCACCAGUGGCGAAGGCGUCUAGCUAGAACGGGUCUGACGGUGAGGAACGAAGCCCUGGGGCGCAAACCGGAUUAGAUACCCGAGUAGUCC
rnacentral:rRNA from 1 species